ACCUUAUGAUGUGGGUAUUUAUAAAGUAAGUCCCUGAAACGCUCCCAGGUCUCAAAGAAAAGUUCCCCAUUUGUUUGUGUGAAAAUUGUGAUUACCCUUCCCAACAGAU